GACGAACGCUGGCGGCGUGCUUAACACAUGCAAGUCGAACGGAAAGGCCCUGCUUUUGUGGGGUGCUCGAGUGGCGAACGGGUGAGUAACACGUGAGUAACCUGCCCUUGACUUUGGGAUAACUUCAGGAAACUGGGGCUAAUACCGGAUAGGAGCUCCUGCUGCAUGGUGGGGGUUGGAAAGUUUCGGCGGUUGGGGAUGGACUCGCGGCUUAUCAGCUUGUUGGUGGGGUAGUGGCUUACCAAGGCUUUGACGGGUAGCCGGCCUGAGAGGGUGACCGGCCACAUUGGGACUGGGAUACGGCCCGGACUCCUACGGGAGGCAGCAGUGGGGAAUAUUGCAAAAUGGGCGGAAGCCUGAUGCAGCAACGCCGCGUGCGGGAUGACGGCCUUCGGGUUGUAAACCGCUUUCGCCUGUGACGAAGCGUGAGUGACGGUAAUGGGUAAAGAAGCACCGGCUAACUACGUG
rnacentral:rRNA from 1 species